GUGCCACGUCAGCGAUCCACGUGCUCCUUCCUUCUCCACCCUUGGAUGCACCGACCUCUCAACCGCCUUAGAUGAAUGGUUGGAGCAUUGGCACACAUGAGGAAGGUCGGUGGGAGUUAACCGACUCCAGAUGCGGCCCACCUGUAGGUCGGUCGACCUGCCCUUUGGCUGACUGUGGGUCCCAUAGACCUUCUAGAAGGUCCUUAGGUCGGUUAGAGGUUGGGCCAGGUGGCAUCACCCCAUAGGUCAGUCGGCUGACCGACCUUUGGGGCACUUGGCCCACCUCUGGCCUCCUGGUGGUAUCCCCACUUGUCAUGUGAAGUGUUGUCCAUAAUUGAGUCUAGUUGCACACUUGCUUGCUUUUAUAUAGGCCCAAGGAUCCAUGUGCUAAGGUUUUUGAACCGUUGAGGGCAAGCACACUUGGAUCCAAGGGUUGGCAAUGACUCCUUCGAGUAUGCCAUCGCUCAUGCCAUGGAGGGGACCCCUGGUGGGCCCAAACCCUGGUCGACCGACCUAGGUUAUGGGGCCCACAGGGCUCAUUUCCUUCUUCCCUGCAUUGAACAAGCUAAGAGCACAAGUGGAACUUUAUUAGUGAUAAAUAUGUUCAUGUGAUGCUUAUCUUCCUUCCAUCGAGGACUGUUGAUGGGCUUUUGAGUAUAUAGAACUGGGUCUUAUUUCCCGUCAACAAGAUCCCCCAAGCUUAACCUUUGCUCGUCCCGAGCAAACAAUCAAGACUUGGUUUGACCGGAUCAGGUAUUACCACUAAGUUAACAUCUUAAUAGUACUAAUUGCACAACAAAGAGCUUCUCCUUGAAUGGCAAACUUAGCAAUGUUAGCACACCAAUGUUACUUUAGCACCCAUGGGGCAUAUAGCAUUAACUCAGUCUUAUGAUGAUGAGAGAUAGAACAACUUUGACUUGACAUCUACUUUUCUCAUUCUAAAGCAAGUUUCAUGUCAGAGGUUUUUGCUAAGUUUUUCAAAAGAAAUCUUAAUGUUCCUCAUAUUGUUUCUCUCAAGUCACUCAAGCGGUGUAUAAAUCCUUACCGAGGCAUAUGAGUCAGUUGCCUUGUCUAUGUAAUCCUACUAUAAUAAAGGCUUAUGUGGAGCUCAAGGUAGAAACAAGGGGAUGGCGUACUUACAUUGCAUAUGUUGUGAAGUCAAACCUCAGAUCCUUGGAGGAAGAGUAGUGUCAUGCUCGAGAUCAAGAUAUAUAUAGUGGAAAGGUAGUAUGAGUAUGAUGGCUAGAUGGCUCUUUUAUUUGAUUAUGCUCUCUCUAUAUUUUUUUCUAUUGAGACAAGGCUAGCAUUUUUCUCUCUUUUUUUCUUUUUUUUUCAAGGACUUGAUGAUGUCUUUCCUAACAAGAUGACUAUUUUUCUAUAGUCUUUGCUUUGUGUCUCAUCUAACAUUUAGCUAUUAGAGAGAGAUUCUACACUUAGAGCAUGGAGCAUGUAUAUUUGGUGGAAUGGAAUGGAAUGGUAUGGAAUGUUGCAUACUCCCAGUGUGAGAGCAGAAGAUGUAUGUGAAUGGUGUGGAUCUUGAUCUCACUGAGCAUGACAAAACUCUAAACCAAGGGUCAACAAGAGUUGACAACUCUCAAUACAAGCAAGCAGCAUAUGUGCUAGGUUUCUAUCAUGUAGAGCAUAUAUGGCUUGUGGUAGGAAUUUAACACCAUUGAUGAACAAUUAAGUUUUUAUUCAUCUUAAAAAAAUAAAUUCUCUAGCAAUCAUGCAUCCUUAGAACAAUAGUAUAGAUCUCUUAUCUUAGCUAUAUCAUGUCUCACAAAAACUUAGACUUUGUUUUAGCACUUGCAACCCACUAAGUGUUCAAGUUCAUGAUGGUUAAGAAUGCUAAGUAAUCCAUACUUAGAGAAAUGCUAAUUUGUAAACAAGUACUCGAGAGACAUUAACUAGCAAUUUCAUCAUCAUUUCCAUAGAAAGGAUAGCACACAUGAAGCAUAUAUAUAAAAAGGAAAUAAAGCAAAUAAAUAUUUUUUGGUUUUUCUUAUUAUGCAAUAAGGAAACAAAUAAAAUGCAAAUAAGCAAGAAUUAAAUUAGGGGGGUUGGAAACUCACUUUGGAUAAACUUACCUUAGUGGGUGCGAGAAUCUCCCCCAAGCUUGCCUUCUUGCUCACUAGGGUGGUUGAUACCCAAACCAUUGGUCCCAUCGGUACUCACUCUCAGCUUGGAGGCUUUGUGCCAUGUCCAAGUUCUCUUGCAUGAGCUGCAAGGUGGUCUGCUAUCCGAUGUUGAUGUUCUCCAUAUCGCUGAUGAGUGUCUCCAUUUCUGACGGUGGUUGGCGCCUCCCCUUACCACGUGGGUGAGGGGUGCGCGCUGCUGAAGACGUCCUAGAGUGAUGAGGUGUUUCCAUGUGCAUGGAGUUCACCUCAUCCUCCUAUUAUGGUGCAGCAUAAGAGGGACCAGCUUGCUGCCGAGCAGCACGGGUCCGUGCUCUCAUCAUCGUGUCUAUCCCUGCAACAAGGUUGGCUCUAUUCUCUCUUCCCAGCCUCAGGGUUAGUGAUGAAGCAUUAUACAACCAAAGGUUCUCAUCGUGAAGAGAGACUUCAAUAGGAUAGUUCCCAUAAAUCAUUUUAAGGCCAUUUCUAGCAUCUCUUUUAAUCAAAUUAGCACUCUUAAGCAUCUGCUCACCUAAAAUAGAUCUAUCAUCCUAGAUGUACUCUACUUCAUUUGUUUCAAGCAAACCCAUAGAUUCAGCAAUUCUGGUGAUAAGUGAAGUAAAGCAUAGGGGCAUGCUAGGUGCA
rnacentral:lncRNA from 1 species